rfam:Triticum aestivum genome assembly, contig: Triticum_aestivum_CS42_TGACv1_scaffold_320250_4BL
CAACUACUCCCUCUGUCCCAAAUUUCUUGUCUUAGAUUUUUCUAGAUACGGAUGUAUCUAAUACUAAAAUGUGACUUGAUACAUCAGUAUUUAGACAAGUCUAAGACAAGAAUUUUGGGAUGGUGGGAGUACUUU